rnacentral:lncRNA from 1 species
GUGGAAAGUAGGGAUGAGGAAGAAAAACAGACCAUAUUUUAUUGUAGCUGCUGUUGAUCUGUUGUUACCCGUUGCUUUUUUAAUUAUCUCUUGUGCGUUAUACUUUCGUUACUUUUUCUUUGGAUUAUUAUUUUUGUAGUUGAUGGUCUAUUAGAAAUAAUCUCUCUACCUCUUAAUUAUUAGUUAGGAAUAAGAUUCGCAUACACUACUCUACCC